rnacentral:rRNA from 1 species
AAAAACGACUCUCGGCAACGGAUAUCACGGCUCACGCAUCGAUGAAGAACGUAGCAAAAUGCGAUACUUGGUGUGAAUUGCAGAAUCCCGUGAAUCAUCGAGUUUUUGAACGCAAGUUGCGCCCAAAACCAUCCGGUUGAGGGCACGCCUGCCUGGNCGUC